UAGCAUAAUCAUUAGUUUUUUAAUUGAAAACUUGUAUGAAUGGUUGGACAAAGAACAAACUGUCUCUUUUGUUUUUAUUGAAUUUAACUUUUAAGUGAAAAGGCUUAAAUAUUCUAGAGGGACGAUAAGACCCUAUAAAGCUUUAUAAAUUUAAAAAUCUUAUAUAUUUUUAUAUAAAAAUAAUUUUUGAGGAGUUUAUUUGGUUGGGGCGACAGUGGUAUAAGUAAUGUAACUGCUAUAGUGUUUAACAAAAAUAUUUGUUUAGUGUAAGUAAUUGAUCCUUUAUAAGGAUUUUAAGAUCAAGUUACUUUAGGGAUAACAGCGUUAUUUUUUCUGAGAGUUCUUAUCAAAGAAAAAGUUUGCGACCUC
rnacentral:rRNA from 1 species